rnacentral:tRNA from 1 species
GCGAUAGUGGUUUAGGGGUUAAGACAGGUGCUUCCCAAGCACCAGCCCCGGGUUCGAUUCCCGGCUAUCGCACCA